GAAUUGUUCACAAUGGGCGCAAGCCUGAUGACGCAACGCCGCGUGGGGGAUGAAGGUCUUCGGAUUGUAAACCCCUGUCGAACAGGACGAACGGCUCCUGGGCUAAUCACCAGGAGAGUGACGGUACCGUUAAAGGAAGCCACGGCUAACUCUGUGCCGACAGCCGCGGUAAUACAGAGGUGGCAAGCGUUGUUCGGAAGUACUGGGCGUAAAGGGCGCGUAGGCGGCCAUCUAAGUCAGACGUGAAAUCCCCCGGCUUAACCUGGGAACUGCGUCUGAUACUGGACGGCUUGAGUAUGGGAGAGGGAUGUAGAAUUCCAGGUGUAGCGGUGAAAUGCGUAGAUAUCUGGAGGAAUACCGGUGGCGAAGGCGGCAUCCUGGACCAUUACUGACGCUGAGGCGCGAAAGCUAGGGGAGCAAACGGG
rnacentral:rRNA from 1 species